UGACUUUGGUGGUCUCUUCAAACCGGAUAAAUCUUUUGCCUUUUAUUGAAGAUUUCCAUGGAGCAAAUGGAUCCAGAGUUUUGAAGCAAGUUUUGAAUGCCUGACCUCAGUCAGGUU